rnacentral:SRP_RNA from 2 species
GCCAGGCGUGGUGGCGCACGCCUGUAAUCCCAGCUACUCGGGAGGCUGAGGCAGAAGAAUUGCUUGAACUCAGAGGGUGGAGAUUGCAGUGAGCCCAGAUUACGCCACUGCACUCCAGCCUGGGCAACAGAGUGAGACUCUGUCUCAA